rnacentral:rRNA from 1 species
CACACUAUCAUUAACUGAAUCCAUAGGUUAAUGAGGCGAACCGGGGGAACUGAAACAUCUAAGUACCCCGAGGAAAAGAAAUCAACCGAGAUUCCCCCAGUAGCGGCGAGCGAACGGGGAGGAGCCCAGAGCCUGAAUCAGUGUGUGUGUUAGUGGAAGCGUCUGGAAAGGCGCGCGAUACAGGGUGACAGCCCCGUACACAAAAAUGCACAUACUGUGAGCUCGAUGAGUAGGGCGGGACACGUGGUAUCCUGUCUGAAUAUGGGGGGACCAUCCUCCAAGGCUAAAUACUCCUGACUGACCGAUAGUGAACCAGUACCGUGAGGGAAAGGCGAAAAGAACCCCGGCGAGGGGAGUGAAAAAGAACCUGAAACCGUGUACGUACAAGCAGUGGGAGCCUCUUAAUGGGGUGACUGCGUACCUUUUGUAUAAUGGGUCAGCGACUUAUAUUCUGUAGCAAGGUUAACCGAAUAGGGGAGCCGAAGGGAAACCGAGUCUUAACUGGGCGUUAAGUUGCAGGGUAUAGACCCGAAACCCGGUGAUCUAGCUAUGGGCAGGUUGAAGGUUGGGUAACACUAACUGGAGGACCGAACCGACUAAUGUUGAAAAAUUAGCGGAUGACUUGUGGCUGGGGGUGAAAGGCCAAUCAAACCGGGAGAUAGCUGGUUCUCCCCGAAAGCUAUUUAGGUAGCGCCUCGUGAAUUCAUCUCCGGGGGUAGAGCACUGUUUCGGCAAGGGGGUCAUCCCGACUUACCAACCCGAUGCAAACUGCGAAUACCGGAGAAUGUUAUCACGGGAGACACACGGCGGGUGCUAACGUCCGUCGUGAAGAGGGAAACAACCCAGACCGCCAGCUAAGGUCCCAAAGUCAUGGUUAAGUGGGAAACGAUGUGGGAAGGCCCAGACAGCCAGGAUGUUGGCUUAGAAGCAGCCAUCAUUUAAAGAAAGCGUAAUAGCUCACUGGUCGAGUCGGCCUGCGCGGAAGAUGUAACGGGGCUAAACCAUGCACCGAAGCUGCGGCAGCGACGCUUAUGCGUUGUUGGGUAGGGGAGCGUUCUGUAAGCCUGUGAAGGUGGCCUGUGAGGGUUGCUGGAGGUAUCAGAAGUGCGAAUGCUGACAUAAGUAACGAUAAAGCGGGUGAAAAGCCCGCUCGCCGGAAGACCAAGGGUUCCUGUCCAACGUUAAUCGGGGCAGGGUGAGUCGACCCCUAAGGCGAGGCCGAAAGGCGUAGUCGAUGGGAAACAGGUUAAUAUUCCUGUACUUGGUGUUACUGCGAAGGGGGGACGGAGAAGGCUAUGUUGGCCGGGCGACGGUUGUCCCGGUUUAAGCGUGUAGGCUGGUUUUCCAGGCAAAUCCGGAAAAUCAAGGCUGAGGCGUGAUGACGAGGCACUACGGUGCUGAAGCGACAAAUGCCCUGCUUCCAGGAAAAGCCUCUAAGCAUCAGGUAACAUUAAAUCGUACCCCAAACCGACACAGGUGGUCAGGUAGAGAAUACCAAGGCGCUUGAGAGAACUCGGGUGAAGGAACUAGGCAAAAUGGUGCCGUAACUUCGGGAGAAGGCACGCUGAUAUGUAGGUGAAGCGACUUGCUCGUGGAGCUGAAAUCAGUCGAAGAUACCAGCUGGCUGCAACUGUUUAUUAAAAACACAGCACUGUGCAAACACGAAAGUGGACGUAUACGGUGUGACGCCUGCCCGGUGCCGGAAGGUUAAUUGAUGGGGUUAGCGGUAACGCGAAGCUCUUGAUCGAAGCCCCGGUAAACGGCGGCCGUAACUAUAACGGUCCUAAGGUAGCGAAAUUCCUUGUCGGGUAAGUUCCGACCUGCACGAAUGGCGUAAUGAUGGCCAGGCUGUCUCCACCCGAGACUCAGUGAAAUUGAACUCGCUGUGAAGAUGCAGUGUACCCGCGGCAAGACGGAAAGACCCCGUGAACCUUUACUAUAGCUUGACACUGAACAUUGAGCCUUGAUGUGUAGGAUAGGUGGGAGGCUUUGAAGUGUGGACGCCAGUCUGCAUGGAGCCGACCUUGAAAUACCACCCUUUAAUGUUUGAUGUUCUAACGUGGGCCCCUUACCGGGGUUGCGGACAGUGUCUGGUGGGUAGUUUGACUGGGGCGGUCUCCUCCUAAAGAGUAACGGAGGAGCACGAAGGUUGGCUAAUCCUGGUCGGACAUCAGGAGGUUAGUGCAAUGGCAUAAGCCAGCUUGACUGCGAGCGUGACGGCGCGAGCAGGUGCGAAAGCAGGUCAUAGUGAUCCGGUGGUUCUGAAUGGAAGGGCCAUCGCUCAACGGAUAAAAGGUACUCCGGGGAUAACAGGCUGAUACCGCCCAAGAGUUCAUAUCGACGGCGGUGUUUGGCACCUCGAUGUCGGCUCAUCACAUCCUGGGGCUGAAGUAGGUCCCAAGGGUAUGGCUGUUCGCCAUUUAAAGUGGUACGCGAGCUGGGUUUAGAACGUCGUGAGACAGUUCGGUCCCUAUCUGCCGUGGGCGCUGGAGAACUGAGGGGGGCUGCUCCUAGUACGAGAGGACCGGAGUGGACGCAUCACUGGUGUUCGGGUUGUCAUGCCAAUGGCACUGCCCGGUAGCUAAAUGCGGAAGAGAUAAGUGCUGAAAGCAUCUAAGCACGAAACUUGCCCCGAGAUGAGUUCUCCCUGACUCCUUGAGAGUCCUGAAGGAACGUUGAAGACGACGACGUUGAUAGGCCGGGUGUGUAAGCGCAGCGAUGCGUUGAGCUAACCGGUACUAAUGAACCGUGAGGCUUAACCUU